CCUACGGGGUGCAGCAGUGAGGAAUAUUGGACAAUGGACGCAAGUCUGAACCAGCCAUGCCGCGUGCAGGAAGACGGCUCUAUGAGUUGUAAACUGCUUUUGUACGAGGGUAAACGCAGAUACGCGUAGCUGUCUGAAAGUAGCGUACGAAUAAGGAUCGGCUAACUCCGUGCCAGCAGCCGCGGUAAUACGGAGGAUUCAAGCGUUAUCCGGAUUUAUGGGGGUUAAAGGGUGCGUAGGCGGUCGGAUAAGGUAGAGGGGAAAUCCCGAGGCUCAACUUCGGAAUUUCCUCUGUUACGGUUCGGCUAGAGCGUAGUUGCGGUAGGCGGAAUGUCUGGUGUAGCGGUGAAAUGCUU
rnacentral:rRNA from 1 species